rnacentral:rRNA from 1 species
GUCUGACCUAUCCCUGGAGGAAGCACGGGCUAAGUUCGUGCCAGCAGCCGCGGUAAGACGAACCGUGCAAACGUUGUUCGGAAUCACUGGGCUUAAAGGGCGCGUAGGCGGGCCAUCAAGUCAGGGGUGAAAUCCUCCAGCUUAACUGGAGAACAGCCUUUGAUACUGGUGGUCUCGAGUGAGGUAGGGGCAUGCGGAACUGAUGGUGGAGCGGUGAAAUGUGUUGAUAUCAUCAGGAACUCCGGUGGCGAAAGCGGCGUGCUGGACCUCUACUGACGCUGAGGCGCGAAAGCCAGGGGAGCGAACGGGAUUAGAUACCCCGGUAGUCCUAGCUGUAAACGAU